AAACUCUGUAACUCGGGGAAUCGGCCCCGGGGCAUCCACGGCCCGACCUUAAUCGGGUGAAACCAGAGGCU
rnacentral:ncRNA from 1 species